rnacentral:rRNA from 1 species
AGUGAACGCUGGCGGUAGGCCUAACACAUGCAAGUCGAACGGCAGCACAGGAGAGCUUGCUCUCUGGGUGGCGAGUGGCGGACGGGUGAGGAAUACAUCGGAAUCUACUUUUUCGUGGGGGAUAACGUAGGGAAGCUUACGCUAAUACCGCAUACGACCUGCGGGUGAAAGCAGGGGAUCUUCGGACCUUGCGCGAUUGAAUGAGCUGAUGUCGGAUUAGCUAGUUGGCGGGGUAAAGGCCCACCAAGGCGACAAUCCGUAGUCUGGUCUGAGAGGAUGAUCAGCCACACUGGAACUGAGACACGGUCCAGACUCCUACGGGAGGCAGCAGUGGGGAAUAUUGGACAAUGGGCGCAAGCCUGAUCCAGCCAUACCGCGUGGGUGAAGAAGGCCUUCGGGUUGUAAAGCCCUUUUGUUGGGAAAGAAAUCCAGCUGGUUAAUACCCGGUUGGGAUGACGGUACCCAAAGAAUAAGCACCGGCUAACUUCGUGCCAGCCGCCGCGGUAA